rnacentral:lncRNA from 1 species
UUAUUCAAACCGUAGAAGUAGACUUAGAGAAUAUUUUAAAAAGUGUGACGAAUAUGGCCUUAGAGAAAGAAAGGUUCCUAAACCUUGCCCGACUAGGUUGAACUACAUGUACAAAAGUUUAGUAGUAGCGUACGAAUGUAGAAACCCAAUUUACGCUACGUAUAAUUCUCGGGAUUGUGGGGAGGAAGAUAAUGACAUGCUAACUACACAAGAUU